rnacentral:piRNA from 1 species
GAGAGGGUCAUUGCGGUAGAGCU